rnacentral:rRNA from 1 species
AAUUUAAUAUUAUAGUCUAAUAAAUUAUUAAAUUACAUAAUUUAUUCAAAACAUUUUUAAAUUUAGUAAAAGUGAUAGAAAAUUAUUAAAUAUGACCUAAAAAAAGUACCGUAAGGGAAUUAAUCCUAAUUAAAAAAUAGAAAAAUUUAAUAUUUGUACCUUUUGCAUCAUGGUUUAGCUAGAUGUAUAUUUUUCUUAAAUCUCUCGAAAUCUAAUGAGUUAUUUUUAUUCAGUAUAUUAGUAAUAAAAGAGUAGUUGUAGCAAAAACUUUCUUAGAAAUAAAAAUGGAAAUGAAAUUUUAUUCGUAUUAGAUGAUAGCUAGUUUUUCUGUAAAAGCAUAUAAGUGCUUUAAAUUAAUUUAAUUUUUAUAAAUUAUUCUAUAAAAAGAAUUUAAUUUAGUUAAAUUUUCGAGGAUAAGCUCGAAAAUUAAAAAUAUAUUUGCAUUAUAUUUUUAUUAAAAUUUAAGCUUGAAAAUAGCUAUAAUUUUGAGUUUGUUAUAAUUUAUUAAUUAAUUAAAAAAAUAAUUGAUUUGCUUGCAGUUAUAGAAAAAAAUUUAAUAAUCAAAUUAAAUUGUAUUAAUGCUAAAAUGAGUAUUAAAAUAUCUUAUAUUUCUUUAGCAAUUUAUUAGUUGAAGUUUAUAUUUAUUUUUAACAUAAAAAUUAUAAAAAGGAACUCGGCAAACAAUCAUUCUGCCUGUUUAGCAAAAACAUGGCUCCUUGAACUUAAAUAAUAGGGAGUCGGACCUGCCCAGUGAAUUUUCAACGGCCGCGGUACUCUGACCGUGCAAAGGUAGCAUAAUCAUUUGCCUUAUAAUUGAAGGCUAGUAUGAAUGGUUUGACAAGAAUGAAACUGUCUCUUUAUAAUUUAAUAGAAUUUUAUUUUUAGGUGAAGAAGCCUAAAUAAUAUUAAAAGACAAGAAGACCCUAUCGAGCUUAAAAAGAAUUAAUAGAAUUAAUUAAUUGAUAUUUAUAAAAAAUUAUCUAUUAAAUAUUUUAGUUGGGGCGACUGAGGAACACAAAAAGCUUCCUUUAUUAAAUUAACUAAAAUCAAACUAGAAUUGAUCCAAAAUAUUUUGAUUAAAGAAAUUAGUUACCGUAGGGAUAACAGCAUUAUCUUUUUUAAGAGCUCAUAUCGAAAAAAAGGUUUGUGACCUCGAUGUUGGACCAGAAUAUCCUAAAGGUGCAGCAGUCUUUAAGGGUUGGUCUGUUCGACCAUUAAAAUUCUACGUGAUCUGAGUUCAGACCGGCGUGAGCCAGGUCAGUUUCUAUCUUUAAUUAUUUUAAUAAAUUUAGUACGAAAGGACCAAUUUAUUGUAUAGAUGAUACUUUCCAUUGAUUAAAUCUAAUUAAAAAUUAAAUUCA